rnacentral:rRNA from 1 species
UCGGUGAUGCACUUAACAGAUUAAACAUUCCGCCUGGGGAGUACGGUCGCAAGAUUAAAACUCAAAGGAAUAGACGGGGACCCGCACAAGUGGUGGAGCAUGUGGUUUAAUUCGAAGAUACGCGAAGAACCUUACCUGGCCUUGACAUUGAUAGAAUCUGCUAGAGAUAGUGGAGUGCCCUUCGGGGAGCUUGAAAACAGGUGCUGCACGGCUGUCGUCAGCUCGUGUCGUGAGAUGUUGGGUUAAGUCCCGCAACGAGCGCAACCCUCGUGACUAGUUACUAACGGUUCGGCCGAGGACUCUAGUCAGACUGCCUUCGCAAGGAGGAGGAAGGUGAGGACGACGUCAAGUCAUCAUGGCCCUUACGGCCAGGGCGACACACGUGCUACAAUGGGUAGGACAAUGAGACGCAAUACCGCGAGGUGGAGCAAAUCUAUAAACCUACUCUCAGUUCGGAUUGUUCUCUGCAACUCGAGAACAUGAAGCUGGAAUCACUAGUAAUCGUAGAUCAGCCAUGCUACGGUGAAUACGUUCCCGGGUCUUGUACUCACCGCCCGUCACACCAUGGGAGUUGAUUUCACCCGAAGCGGGGAAGCUAAA